GCACAAGUGGGGGAAACCCUGAUGCAGCCAUGCCGCGUGUGUGAAGAAGGCCUUCGGGUUGUAAAGUACUUUCAGCAGUGAGGAAGGUGGUGUAGUUAAUAGCUGCAUUAUUUGACGUUAGCUGCAGAAGAAGCACCGGCUAACUCCGUGCCAGCAGCCGCGGUAAUACGGAGGGUGCGAGCGUUAAUCGGAAUUACUGGGCGUAAAGCGCAUGCAGGUGGUUUGUUAAGUCAGAUGUGAAAGCCCCGGGGCUCAACCUCGGAAUUGCAUUUGAAACUGGCAGACUAGAGUACUGUAGAGGGGGUAGAAUUUCAGGUGUAGCGGUGAAAUGCGUAGAGAUCUGAAGGAAUACCGGUGGCGAAGGCGGCCCCCUGGACAGAUACUGACACUCAGAUGCGAAAGCGUGGGGAGCAAACAGGAUUAGAUACCCUGGUAG
rnacentral:rRNA from 1 species